rnacentral:rRNA from 1 species
UACGUAGGGACCGAGCGUUGUCCGGAUUCAUUGGGCGUAAAGAGCUCGUAGGCGGCUGUUCAAGUCGAACGUGAAAACUCGGAGCUCAACUCCGAGCCUGCGUUCGAUACUGGACGGCUAGAGUCUGGUAGGGGGAUCUGGAAUUCCUGGUGUAGCGGUGGAAUGCGCAGAUAUCAGGAGGAACACCGGUGGCGAAGGCGGGAUCCUGGGCCAGUACUGACGCUGAGGAGCGAAGGCCAGGGGAGCAAACGGG